rnacentral:rRNA from 1 species
UAGGGAAUCUUCCGCAAUGGACGCAAGUCUGACGGAGCAACGCCGCGUGAGUGAAGAAGGAUUUCGGUUCGUAAAACUCUGUUGUUAGAGAAGAACAGCGCAUAGAGUAACUGUUAUGCGUGUGACGGUAUCUAACCAGAAAGCCACGGCUAACUACGUGCCAGCAGCCGCGGUAAUACGUAGGUGGCAAGCGUUGUCCGGAUUUAUUGGGCGUAAAGCGAGCGCAGGCGGUCAAUUAAGUCUGAUGUGAAAGCCCCCGGCUCAACCGGGGAGGGUCAUUGGAAACUGGUUGACUUGAGUGCAGAAGAGGUGAGUGGAAUUCCAUGUGUAGCGGUGAAAUGCGUAGAUAUAUGGAGGAACACCAGUGGCGAAGGCGACUCUCUGGUCUGUAACUGACGCUGAGGUUCGAAAGCGUGGGUAGCAAACAGG